GAGGUAUCUACAGCUUCUUUUAGGGGGGAAAUCAAGAUUUAGUUGCAGAAAGAUAAUGAAAAAAAGAAAUAUAGAAUCAUUGAAUGUUGUUGGGGGAAGACAGUCACCACAAGGACUUGUGAAACUCUCUAGUGAUGGCUAGGAAUCAGUUAAAAGUGCUUAAUGCACUUGAUUUGGCAAAGACACAAUGGUACCAUUUCACUGCA
rnacentral:misc_RNA from 1 species